AGAAUAUAAGAACGUGAUUUUCGACUUGACUCUGACCCAGCCAGCUCUGCACUGGACCGAGAAGAUGACCACUCUCUGCUCUCCUUUUAAUCCACCCUGCUCCGGUGCUUUACUAAACAAGAUACCUGCUCCUGCAGCCAGUGUUACUGUCACUGAACCUCCCAGCCAGUCCACACCUGUUACUGUUUGUUGCUAGUGAUAAAGCCACAGUUGGACACUGGAUGAUCAGCAUUGAAAGUCAUGUCAUCUGUGAAGACAUCCAACCAAGCUUCAUCACAGGGCUGUACUGUUUAACUUCAACACCAAGACAC